GCAAAUCUUUCAUAUUUCCAUUUUCAAUACUACCUGUCAUUAUUUUUUUCAAAAAAAAAUAUUGCAUUUACACAUAUUUGAAGAUCUAUACCAAUCGAACUUGAGAAUUAAAUAAUACUUCUUUAGUUCGUAAAGAUGACGAGGAUGAAGAAGAUAUCGAUUUUGAAGAUGAGUAUUAAAAGAAUGAAGGUGUAGGAGAAGAUGAAGAGGAAUAUGAUGCUACUCUUAAUAAAGAUUGAACAGUAAUUAUUUUAUAAUUGCUUGACUUUAAUUUUGAAACA
rnacentral:misc_RNA from 1 species